UACGUAGGGUGCGAGCGUUAAUCGGAAUUACUGGGCGUAAAGCGUGCGCAGGCGGUUUUGUAAGCCAGAUGUGAAAUCCCCGGGCUUAACCUGGAAUGGCAUUUGGGACUGCAAGGCUGGAGUUUGGCAGAGGAGACUGGAAUUCCCGGUGUAGCAGUGAAAUGCGUAGAUAUCGGGAGGAAUACCGAUGGCGAAGGCAGCUCGCUGGGACGUUACUGACGCUGAGACGCGAAAGCGUGGGGAGCAAACAGG
rnacentral:rRNA from 1 species